rnacentral:misc_RNA from 1 species
GCAAACUUGGUCAUUUAGAGGAAGUAAAAGUCGUAACAAGGUUUCCGUAGGUGAACCUGCGGAAGGAUCAUUAACAAGUCCGUCCCUGCGUGUGGGACAUUUGUUCCGUGUGCAUGUCACGUGCACAUUGAUACAUUUCUGUCGAUCGUCUGAUUGUCGUUGACCAACUACGAAUGACUUUUAACAAUGGAUCUCUAGGCUCCUUUAGAGGAAGUAAAAGUCGUAACAAGGUUUCCGUAGGUGAACCUGCGGAAGGAUCAUUAACAAGUCCGUCCCUGCGUGUGGGACAUUUGUUCCGUGUGCAUGUCACGUGCACAUUGAUACAUUUCUGUCGAUCGUCUGAUUGUCGUUGACCAACUACGAAUGACUUUUAACAAUGGAUCUCUAGGCUCCUGCAUCGAUGAAGAACGCAGC